CUCUGAAUGUUCAUUUUUUGCAAUUUUUGGCGUAUGCGAUCUCGAAGUAUAUACAAACAUAUUUGAUGGUUAGAUCGUUGAAACUAGUUUCGUAGAAUGCGUAUCCCAUCAAAACAAUAGAUUCACUUAAGAGUUUAUUCAAACUUUCAUUAAGUAUAACAUAAGAUUUUCUGGUAUCCACUAGUGCACAUAUUUUAAAUUGAAGAUCAAAUUCAUUCAUUGUAUUCAUAUAAGGUCAAGGAGUGUAGCUGUAAAGAAUCAUCAAAAUCGGAGUUAAAAUAAUCGUUAAAUCGUGAUUUUUCUUUUUAUAACCGUGGAAACGUUUUGUCCCAUUACUUGAUCUCUAUAUGUUUGUUUUUUGUAAGUUUUGGUGUAUGCGGUUUGGAAGUAUAUACAAAUAUGUUUGACGGUUGUUUCGUUGAAACUAGGUUUGUAGAAUGCGUAUCCCAUCAAAACAAUAGAUUCACUAACACUUAAGAGUUUAUUCAUACUUUCAUUAAGUAUAACAAGAUUUUGUGGUAUCCAUUAGUGUAAAUAUUUUAAAUUGAAGAUCAAAUUCAUUCAUUGUAUUCAUAUAGGGUCAAGGAGUGUAGCUGUUAAAAAUCAUUAAAAUCGGAGUUAAAAUAAUCGUUAAAUCGUGAUUUUUCUUUUUAUAACCGUCGAAAGGUUUUAUCCCGUUACCUAAUCUCUAUAUGUUUGUUUUUUUCAAUUUUUGGUGUAUGCGAUCUGGAAGUAUAUUCAAACAUGUUUGAUGGUUGGAUCGUUGAAACUAGUUCUAUAAAAUUCGUAUCCUAUCAAAACAAUAGAUUCACUAAUACUUAAGAGUUUAUUCAUACUUUCAUUAAGUAUAACAAGAUUUUGUGGUAUCCACUAGUGCAAAUAUUUUAAAUUGAAGAUCGAAUUCAUUCAUUGUAUUCAUAUAGGGUCAAGGAGUGUAGCUGUAAAAAAUCAUUAAAAUCGGAGUUAAACUAACCGUUAAAUCGUGAUUUUUCGUUUUAUAACCGUCGAAAAGUUUUGUUCAGUUACUUAAUCUCUGAAUGUUUCUUUUUUGCAAUUUUUGGUGUAUGCGAUCUCGAAGUAUAUACAAACAUGUUUGACGGUUGGAUCGUUGAAACUAGUUUUGUAGACUGCGUAUCCCAUCAAAACAAUAGAUUCACUAACACUUAAGAGUUUAUUCAUACUUUCAUUAAGUAUAACAUAAGAUUCUAGUGUAAAUAUUUUAAAUUGAAGAUCGAAUUCAUUCAUUGUAUUCAUAUAGGGUAAAGCAGUGUAGCUGUAAAAAAUCUUAAAAAUCGGAGUUAAAAUAACCGUUAAAUCGUGAUUUUUCGUUUUAUAACCGUCGAAAAGUUUUGUUCGGUUACUUGAUCUCUGAAUGUUUGUUUUUUACGAUUUUUUUAAUGAUGCGAUCUUGAAGCAUAUACAAACAAGUUUGACGGUUGGAUCAUUGAAAUUAGUUUCGUAUAAUUCGUAUCCCAUCAAGUUCAAUGGUAUAUAUAUAUUUAUUAAGUAGAUUUAAAUCUAUUUAUUUUGUAUGU
rnacentral:lncRNA from 1 species